rnacentral:lncRNA from 1 species
CUUCACCUGAGUUUUUUCUUUAAGUCCUACUUUCACUGAGCAAUAGAAAGAAAAGGUUUUCUUCCAUCAAAUGCUUUCUGUGAUGGCAGCAGUUUGGUAUGAAUGUGUGAUAAGAAUAUCUGCAAUGUAAAGAUAGCUGGGAACUUUGAAUCAGUCCCUUGGCUGACAGUGGGCAGCCCAGUGUGUUACAAAGGAGGGUUUGAGAAAUCCUAUGCCUGGCAGAUGUGAAAUAGUUUGCAGCCAUGCUAAUCGCUACUGCCUUGGAAUUGAUUUGACCCUUAAACAUGAGGAUCAUUUGAAAGCAAAAGAUUUCACUACAGAGAAGAGUACAUUAAAAACAAUAAAGGUGAAGAACGGCAAAGAGUUCCUCCUUGGCAACUUGUGGAUGAGAGGUGUUUUCUGCACCUUCACGAAGCCAGGGUGA